AGUACUUGGAUCUCGUUCAUUCUGGAGAAAUUUCAGAUUAGGGUUUAUCUGUUUGGGAGAUUGGCAAUUUAUCCUUGCUCCGACUGUUGAUUUACAGAAGCAACGUUUCCAAUCAGAUUUGGACAAGUUGUAGAGGACUCUGAUUCGAGACCGUAUCUCGACGGGUAUCUUGAUUCCCGGAUUGGACCAUUUUAUCGGAGGCGGGU